UUCACACCCUGGACUCCAGUUUCUGGAGCUGCUUCUUGCCACCCUUCAUGGCGAGGUUCUCAGCCUCAUCCAGACGGUGCUGCAGGUCCUUGACUGUGACCUCCAGGUUCUUCUUCAUCCUCUCCAGGUGAGCACUGGUGUCCUG